UGAAACACGGAUUGCGGAGUGCUUGUCUACUGCGAGUCAAAGGGUGUUAAAACCUUGCGGCGAAAUGAAAGUAAAGGUCAGUCUCGAAUUGGCCGACGUGGGAUCUGUGUUCUUCGGAGUGCAGCGCACCACGGCCCUGUGCGUGUCACUUGUGACUGUGCAGAGGUUGAGCAGUUGGCAAACGACCCGAAAGAUGGUGAACUAUGCCUGAGCAGGAUGAAGCCAGAGGAAACUCUGGUGGAAGUCCGUAUCGGUUCUGACGUGCAAAUCGAUCGAUAGACUUGGGUAUAGGGGCGAAAGACUAAUCGAACCAUCUAGUAGCUGGUUCCUUCCGAAGUUUCCCUCAGGAUAGCUGGAUCUCAGGCAGUUAUAUUCGGUAAAGCUAAUGAUUAGAGGCCUUGGGGACGUAAUGUCCUCAACCUAUUCUCAAACUUUCAAUGGAUAUGAAGUUGCAGUUUCUUUAGUGAACUGUCAACGUGAAUGCGAGGUCCAAGUGGGCCAUUUUUGGUAAGCA
rnacentral:rRNA from 1 species